rnacentral:rRNA from 1 species
UACGGAGGGUGCAAGCGUUGUUCGGAAUUAUUGGGCGUAAAGCGCGCGCAGGCGGUUCUUUAAGUCUACCUGUGAAAGACCGGGGCUCAACCCCGUGUUGGCAGGAGAUACUGGGGAGCUAGAGACAAGGAGAGGCAAGCGGAAUUCCGGGUGUAGCGGUGGAAUGCGUAGAGAUCCGGAAGAACACCGGAGGCGAAGGCGGCUUGCUGGACUUGGUCUGACGCUGAGGCGCGAAAGCGUGGGGAGCGAA